AUUAACAACAAAGUCUCCUCUUCAAGGAUUCUCCAAGCUUUGGUUUCCGAUGCCUCCACGCCGAUCUCGACUUCCUAGGAGUCGAUCCCAUUCGCAGCCUAGCGAGGAAGAAGUUCCCGCAGCAUCCUCCCCUCCAGCGGCUUCCUUUUUUGGGGUCGAGUUCCCCGUGGGCAGCCUUCCUCCUCAUGCUAA